CCCUGUGGCUCAGUUGGUAGAGCGUGGUGUUUGAAACGCCAGCAUGGUGUGUGCAAUGCCAGGAUUGUGGGUUCGAUUCCCAUGAGGG
rfam:Salmo salar isolate Sally breed double haploid chromosome ssa19, whole genome shotgun sequence.